rnacentral:rRNA from 1 species
AGCGAACGCUGGCGGCAGGCCUAACACAUGCAAGUCGAACGAACUCUUCGGAGUUAGUGGCGGACGGGUGAGUAACACGUGGGAACGUGCCUUUUGGUUCGGAAUAACUCAGGGAAACUUGUGCUAAUACCGAAUGUGCCCUUCGGGGGAAAGAUUUAUCGCCAUUAGAGCGGCCCGCGUCUGAUUAGCUAGUUGGUGAGGUAACGGCUCACCAAGGCGACGAUCAGUAGCUGGUCUGAGAGGAUGACCAGCCACACUGGGACUGAGACACGGCCCAGACUCCUACGGGAGGAAGCAGGGGGGAAUCUGGCGCAAUGGGAGAAAGCCUGACGCAGCAAUGCCGCGUGAAUGAUGAAGGUCUUAGGAUUGUAAAAUUCUUUCACCGGGGACGAUAAUGACGGUACCCGGAGAAGAAGCCCCGGCUAACUUC